GACGAACGCUGGCGGCGUGCCUAAUACAUGCAAGUAGAACGCUGAAGGAGGAGCUUGCUUCUCUGGAUGAGUUGCGAACGGGUGAGUAACGCGUAGGUAACCUGCCUGGUAGCGGGGGAUAACUAUUGGAAACGAUAGCUAAUACCGCAUAAGAGUAGAUGUUGCAUGACAUUUGCUUAAAAGGUGCAAUUGCAUCGCUACCAGAUGGACCUGCGUUGUAUUAGCUAGUUGGUGGGGUAACGGCUCACCAAGGCGACGAUACAUAGCCGACCUGAGAGGGUGAUCGGCCACACUGGGACUGAGACACGGCCCAGACUCCUACGGGAGGCAGCAGUAGGGAAUCUUCGGCAAUGGACGGAAGUCUGACCGAGCAACGCCGCGUGAGUGAGGAAGGUUUUCGGAUCGUAAAGCUCUGUUGUAAGAGAAGAACGAGUGUGAGAGUGGAAAGUUCACACUGUGACGGUAUCUUACCAGAAAGGGACGGCUAACUACGUG
rnacentral:rRNA from 1 species